rnacentral:rRNA from 1 species
CCUACGGGACGCAGCAGUGGGGAAUAUUGCACAAUGGGCGAAAGCCUGAUGCAGCAACGCCGCGUGAAGGAAGACGGUUUUCGGAUUGUAAACUUCUAUCAAUAGGGAAGAAAGAAAUGACGGUACCUAAAUAAGAAGCCCCGGCUAACUACGUGCCAGCAGCCGCGGUAAUACGUAGGGGGCAAGCGUUAUCAGGAAUUACUGGGUGUAAAGGGAGAGUAGGCGGCAAGGUAAGUCUGGAGUGAAAGGUACCGGCUCAACCGGUACAGGCUCUGGAAACUGGCGGGCUAGAGAGCAGGGGAGGG